rnacentral:rRNA from 1 species
AUUGAACGCUGGCGGCAUGCCUUACACAUGCAAGUCGAACGGUAACAGGUCUUCGGAUGCUGGCGAGUGGCGUACGGGUGAGUAAUACAUCGGAACGUGCCCAGACGUGGGGGGUAACGAGGCGAAAGCUUUGCUAAUACCGCAUACGAUCUAAGGAUGAAAGCAGGGGACCGCAAGGCCUUGUGCGUUUGGAGCGGCCGAUGGCAGAUUAGGUAGUUGGUGGGAUAAAAGCUUACCAAGCCGACGAUCUGUAGCUGGUCUGAGAGGACGACCAGCCACACUGGGACUGAGACACGGCCCAGACUCCUACGGGAGGCAGCAGUGGGGAAUUUUGGACAAUGGGCGAAAGCCUGAUCCAGCAAUGCCGCGUGCAGGAUGAAGGCCUUCGGGUUGUAAACUGCUUUUGUACGGAACGAAAAGGCUCUGGCUAAUACCUGGGGCACAUGACGGUACCGGAAGAAUAAGCACCGGCUAACUACGUG